GACGAACGCUGGCGGCGUGCCUAAUACAUGCAAGUAGAACGCUGAAGAGAGGAGCUUACUCUUCUUGGAUGAGUUGCGAACGGGUGAGUAACGCGUAGGUAACCUGCCUUGUAGCGGGGGAUAACUAUUGGAAACGAUAGCUAAUACCGCAUAACAAUGGAUGACACAUGUCAUUUAUUUGAAAGGGGCAAUUGCUCCACUACAAGAUGGACCUGCGUUGUAUUAGCUAGUAGGUGAGGUAAUGGCUCACCUAGGCGACGAUACAUAGCCGACCUGAGAGGGUGAUCGGCCACACUGGGACUGAGACACGGCCCAGACUCCUACGGGAGGCAGCAGUAGGGAAUCUUCGGCAAUGGGGGCAACCCUGACCGAGCAACGCCGCGUGAGUGAAGAAGGGUUUCGGAUCGUAAAGCUCUGUUGUAGGUCAAGAACGGGUGUGAGAGUGGAAAGUUCACACUGUGACGGUAGCUUACCAGAAAGGGACGGCUAACUACGUG
rnacentral:rRNA from 1 species